rnacentral:rRNA from 1 species
UCCUAGCCGUAAACGAUGGGUACUAAGUGUAGGAGGUAUUGACCCCUUCUGUGCUGUAGCAAACGCAUUAAGUACCCCGCCUGGGGACUACGGCCGCAAGGCUAAAACUCAAAGUAAUUGACGGGGGCCCGCACAAGCGGUGGAGCAUGUCGCUCAAUUCGAAGCAACGCGAAGAACCUUAUCCAGUGGCUUGACAUCCUCUGACAACCGUGGAAACACGGCCUUCUCUUAUGAGACAGAGUGACAGGUGCUGCAUGGCAGUCGUCAGCUCGUGUCGUGAGAUGUUGGGUUAAGUCCCGCAACGAGCGCAACCCUUAUCUCUAGUUGCCAGCGGGUUAUGCCGGGGACUCUAGAGAGACUGCCGACGAUAAG